rnacentral:rRNA from 1 species
CCUACGGGAGGCUGCAGUGGGGAAUAUUGGACAAUAGGCGAAAGCCUGAUCCAGCCAUGCCGCGUGUGUGAAGAAGGCCUUCGGGUUGUAAAGCACUUUCAGUGGGGAAGAAAGCCUUGGGGCUAAUACCCUCGAGGAAGGACAUCACCCACAGAAGAAGCACCGGCUAACUCCGUGCCAGCAGCCGCGGUAAUACGGAGGGUGCGAGCGUUAAUCGGAAUUACUGGGCGUAAAGCGCGCGUAGGCGGUCUGAUAAGCCGGUUGUGAAAGCCCCGGGCUCAACCUGGGAACGGCAUCCGGAACUGUCAGGCUAGAGUGCAGGAGAGGAAGGUAGAAUUCCCGGUGUAGCGGUGAAAUGCGUAGAGAUCGGGAGGAAUACCAGUGGCGAAGGCGGUCUUCUGGACUGACACUGACGCUGAGGUGCGAAAGCGUGGGUAGCAAACAGGAUUAGAUACCCUAGUAGUC